GUCGGUGACACGGGGUGCCCGGGAGAAGGCCCGGGCUGAGAUGAGACCCGUCGAACCUGAUCGAGUUCACACUCGCGGAGGAAUUGUCAUGGCAGACUCUG
rnacentral:ncRNA from 2 species